AGGAUGAACGCUGGCGGCGUGCCUAAUACAUGCAAGUCGAGCGCCCCUUUAAGAGGUGACAAUCAAUGAUUGUCGGUUCCUAUGGGGAGCGGCGGACGGCUGAGUAACGCGUGGGAACGUGCCCCAAAGUGAGGGAUAAGCACCGGAAACGGUGUCUAAUACCGCAUAUGAUCUUCGGAUUAAAGCUUUAUGCGCUUUGGGAGCGGCCUGCGUCCUAUUAGAUAGUUGGUGAGGUAAGGCUCACCAAGUCAACGAUGGGUAGCUGGUCUGGAGAGGAUGACCAGCCAGACUAGGAACUGAGACACGGUCCACGACUCCGUACGGGAGCGAGACAGUAAGGAACUUCUUACCACAAGUUGGGACGAAACGCCUGAUGGACGCGAACCGGCCG
rnacentral:rRNA from 1 species